rnacentral:tRNA from 1 species
GCCUUCAUGGUGCAAUGGUCAGCACACUAGGUGCGUAUUCGAGAGAUCCCGGGUUCGAAUCCCGGCGAAGGCA